rnacentral:rRNA from 1 species
UACAGAGGUCUCAAGCGUUGUUCGGAUUCAUUGGGCGUAAAGGGUGCGUAGGCGGCGCGGUAAGUCGGGUGUGAAAUCUUGGAGCUUAACUCCGAAACUGCAUUCGAUACUGCCGUGCUUGAGGACUGGAGAGGAGACUGGAAUUUACGGUGUAGCGGUGGAAUGCGUAGAGAUCCGGAAGAACACCGGUGGCGAAGGCGGCCUGCUGGGCAGUGGCUGACGCUGAGGCGCGACAGCGUGGGGAGCAAACAGG